GGUCAUCUGAGCUGCUCAGUGACUACAGGGAAAGAGGAAACAGUUUAAGGGCUGCUGCUUCCAGCCCAGAAAGAACUUGAAGGAAUUACAGCUUGAAAAGAGAUAAAGGAAGCCUGGUGUUGCAGAAAAGCAAACCUGACCACAUAUUUUCUGUGAUUCAACUGAAAUUCUCUUUUGCCUUUCCUUUUUUUGUCCCACUUGACCCAAUGGUGGAAAGAAGCUGCAAACAUUCAGAACUCCAUCAUUAAGUCUCAGUCACUGAAAGUUUAAUUGCUAACUUCAUCCCAUCUACAGCACCUGCAUGAGCCUACCAGCAUGACAGCACCGAGUCAGGUCCCAGGUGGCAGAACCUGCCACAUAGAUUUGGUGUUGCUGGUAAUGAUGCACCUGGCAGUGAGAACUCAGCUGAGUUUUGGGAAGCGAAGCCAAGUGUGCUGGAAAGGUGCUCACAAAUGACACCACUUGUAAACGUAAACCCAAGCAAGCAGGAUGGUGAAGUCACCGAGAUCUUUUGAGAAUGAAUACUCCCAAAACCCUACAGCGCUAUUUUUAGAGCUUUAUCCUAGAUGAGAGCUGUGUGUUGGACUGGUUCUCAUCACAGACAUGUAUUUACCCUUCCAUAAGACAAUUCUAGUUCUCUUUUUUUUUCUGUCAGUCUUCAGGCAACUAGGCAGAAGAUCAAAAAGGCUACACCUUGUUAAAUAAAAGAAAUCUGACUCUUUAUCUGAUCUGUAAGGAUGUCUGUCCUUGGUUCUAGGUGCCCUGGAAAAUACUACAAAUGCAAGGUGGGAUUCUUAGAAACACUCCAUACCAACUGUCAAACUGCAUCCAAGGACAUCUACUUGUGACUUUUUGCUUUCUGCUUGUGAUACCAUACGUCUCCUGCUUCAGA
rnacentral:lncRNA from 1 species